AAAAAGUAGUCAUUCAUUUAAUGGAAUCAUGGAAUGAAUACUAUAUUUGUUAUCAUUUAUUUUUGCAUGCUUGAAUUAGAAACAAAGAAAAACCCUUACUUGUGCAGGGCACUGCAUGCAAAGAGACCUGUCAGCUUUUAAAAGUUUUGUUAAGUGAGACCUUAUGUGACAUGGGGCAUACCAGAGUAAUGCAACAGAGAAGGACCUGCAACUCAAGACUGAAGCAAUGUUGUUCCUGUUGGGGCUGAUUUUAUUGUGAAUCUCUCUGUGAGAYAUGCUUUCUGAGUGAAAGAUUGCUCUCCAGCCUCUUUUUUAUGUUGUGACCUGACACAUCUGUGUCUGUCACCUGAGGUCUCAGAGCAAAAGAAGCUUGCAACGCUGGGUUGUCAAUGCUUGAAAUACAUACGGGCCCUGUAACAGGAAGCGUAAUCAGGGAGUACUGAGUGAGUCUCGCAUAUAGAACAAGAGUUUUGACACAUGUACCAGAAGACAAGUUUCAGAACAGUUCUUGAGUAAAAUGCUUGUAAUAAAGCCACCUUUCCCCACCCACUCCAGUCCUUGAAAGAAACACUAAACAAACAGUGGUAGCUGAGAUCCAGUGUUCAUCCUCWUUUGUGUACUCAUCUGACACUUGCAUUUCUUUCUGUUGUUCUCUCUGCUGUAUUCACAUGGAGAUCAUCUGGCACCCAUGCUAGAGGAAAUAUCUUUCUCGUCCAGGACUCAGCGUGUGUGAAGAUUGCAAAUCCAUUUCUGGUCAGGAGAUGAUAGAAAAAUGUCCUCUCUCACUGCAGAAAAGCACUCUCAAAUUUCCCUGCUACUACCUGAAACAUGGUGAUGCUUUUAAAGCAGACAUUUUCCAUGGCCUUAGCUGUCUACAGGUCUGUCCUAAAACCGAAGUAGCCACUGUGCAUACCUAUCUUUGGAUGAGAUCUGAAAAGAAGCUUGAAAAUUUUAUGUGGCAAUCUACAUAUGGCAGACUGUAGGUUUUGAUCAGCAACUUCUUUACCGUUAGAAUUAUGUACACUCUCUCAGAUGCAGUGAACAUACAUUGCAACAACAGAUUCUACUUCGGGGAGUAUACGCAGCUUGAAUCCCUGAGUAAGUACUUUGUUUUGUGCCUGA
ensembl:lncRNA